UCUGAGGCGGUGUGUUGUUUUGAGAUACUCCCUGGCAUCAUCCUUCAUCAUAUUCCAUACACACCUCUCUCUGGAGUUUUCCGCAAUGCUUCGCUGGAGAAGCGUCACCAUAGCAACACUGCUGCCUACAUCACAACAGGCAUGAGGACGACUGAAGCUGCAUCCGGCUUUAACAGCUCCCUACAUAGUGUUCCCUGCUCCCUAUUCCCUGAGCAGAGAAUACCCACUGAAGGUCACUUCACUUGGGAACAUGCAUUUAAUUUGAACAACCUGCAACUUCACCAUCACCACUGGGAGAGAGGAAACUCCAGUCAUGUAUUUCAGAGGAGUCUGAGUGUAUGAAGCAGAGUCUCCCGCCCUCUCUCCAGAGACUUCCAAAGGUUUCCCAAACAUCUGGAUCCCAUCCGGAGCCUGUGGUUGUCCAGCGCUGCAGAUGUUUGCAGACAUGAGAAGAUCCCAUGGGCUGCUGCUGGCAUCUGGAGCUGGUCAUCUGCUGCUAUUACACCACACCGAGCCAUUACUCAGGCACAGAGAAACUGGUGCGCAUGUGUGUGUGUGUGUGUGUGUGUGUAUGCUGGUGAAUAUGGAUGUGCUUGUGUGUUUGUUCACAUGCCAUCAAGCUUGCAUUAAAAUCACACUUGUCUGAAGAAUUACUGAGUGACACUGAAUAUAAAUCUUACACUCAAGAGUCAUAAAAGUAUUUGUCUCCGCUGCACAUAUGCUGUGUAUUAAUGUAAAACACGCGAGCACAGUCAGUAAAGAAUGAUUAUUCUUAAA